ensembl:miRNA
CUCGAGGGCCUUGUACAUAGUAGGCUUUCAUUCACUCGUGUACUUAUACGGUGAGGGUCUACUGUGUGCCAGGCCCUGUCCA